UAUGGUGGGUUAUGCUUGUUGUAUGUAGUAUAAUGUGUGUGGUUAUGAAUAGGUGCAUGUGUAUAUGUGUAUGACAGGUGUACAUUCAUGUGUGGGUAAUAUUUGAGUUAUGUUUGUAUGUGUUUAUGUAAUGUAUAUAAUUAUAUGCAGCAGUGUGCUCUUUACACAGUGACUGAAAGACUGAAAAAACAUAUAUCUUGACGAUACAACAUCAUGGUUAACGUACAGACCUGACAUCAGAUUAGAUUAUAAAUAAGGAUUUUUUUAUGUGCCCAGAUCGAUAGAUCGGGGGCGCACAUUGUUUUUGUCCUGUCUGUCUGUUUGUCUGUUUAUCUGUUUGUCUGUUGUCAACUUUAACCUUCGCCAUAACGUUUGAACCAUGAGAGAUAGAGACUUCAUAUUUGGUAUGCUUACUCCAUUAAUUAAGCUCUUUCAAAUGACACCAAGGUCAAUGACCUUGUGACCUUGACUGUGACCUAUAUGCUAAAAAUAGCUUUUUCGAACCUUUGUCAUAACUUUUGAACCAUAGGAGAUAGUGACUUCAUAUUUGGUAUGCAUACUCCACAAAUUAAGCUCUUUCACAUGACACCAAGUUCAAUGACUUUGCAACCUUGACUGUGACCUAUAUGCUAAAAAUAGCCUUUUUGAACCUUCACCGUAACUUUUGAACCAUAAGAGACAGAGACUUCAUAUUUGGUAUGCAUACUCCACUAAUUAAGCUCUUUCAAAUGACAUCAAGGUCAAUGACCUUUUGACCUUGACUGUGACCUAUAUGCUAAAAGUAGCUUUUUCAAACUUUGUUGCUGCCAGGUGCAUAGUAUUUCACAAACACAUCUUGUUUUCAAAUUAAAAUGCAUGAGUCAUAUGAUAUGCUUCAUUAAUUAUCUUCAUCAUAAAGAUCUACCUUUUUCCCUUUUAAAUUUAAUAUUAUUAAUGUUAACUGAUCGAAAGUCAGAGGUCAUUUAGUUUUCUCCUAUUCUAUGUCCAAUGGUUCUCUAAAGAUAUCUUCGAAAUCUUGCGGUUUUCAAAUUAUGCAAAAAGGUUGGAAUUGAUUUACAAUCAUGACCUUUUAAAGUCAAAAUUUAAAUCCCCAUAUUUCACUUAAAGUGUCAUGAAUCAAAAUUCUUAAUUGUUCACAACUCUAACCACUGCGCCAUGUGAGAGCACUUAAAAUAUAGGAUUGGGAGGGGGUGGGGUGAUUAAAAAACUGUUUUCUAGUAUUUGUCAGGUGACGAGACUAUCCAGUCCAUCAGGAGCUGCAGACUUUGAUGAGUGUUUCAUUUGAUUCAGUUAAUACCCUAUAUUGUGAAAUGAUGAAUUCAACGUUUAUUUUGUGGGCUCUCGGGAGGGAUGGCCAACCAAACAAGGAAGAGCAGAUAAUUGUGAGAAUUAGGAUACAGGGUAUACACAAUGCCAGUGGACCAACAUUUUAAAAAAUAGUAAGAAGAGAAGAACAUCUCUCAUCAAGAAGAGUCCAGAAAGGGGAAUCAACUGCAGCCAAACAUGGUAGACAGGAAAUGAUGACAGCUGUACCCCACUACCCUUAGGACCUUAGGUUAAGAAGAGUGCAUCACCUGCCAGCAAGAAUACCAAGAGAAGGAUAGACUUUGACCAACCCAAAAGUAACGAAAUGGAUGUAGAGAAGCAAGGCCGAUCAGAAGCACUAGACCACUCAACAGCUAGAGAGUUCGGUAAAGGUUUGGUUACUAGACAUAAGGUGAGUUGUAUUCCUAAUUAUAACAUUAGGUGCUAGGCAUGAAUUGCCCUGCAACCUACAUAUACAAGGUACAUUGAUAUAUACCUGCUGUGAAGUGUACAGCUCCUCUCUCUCCUUUUCUUCUGCUGACGGACAGACGUGUUACUGUCAGCUGCAUUAUUUUUAUGUACUGUACUAUACAUUGUAAGACGCAGAUUAUUUUACCAUAGUGUUAAUUUGACUCUGUUUCCACCGUCACUGCAUAUUGUUAUUAUAGUAAAAUGCUUAUGGUGCUGCGAGCAGGGUACUUCAGUUUGACAGUGGGGUAAAUGC